GCAAUCCAUCCUGGAUAUCCCUUCAAGUCGCUUGAAUCCAACCCCCCUGAUUUCUGUCAAGCAAGCCGUUAUCCGUCCCGAUUCAGAGGCUCAGAACAGGUGCCCUCCUGGAAAGUUGUUUACUUGAUUUGUAACUGAAGAGAGCAAGGGCAAAAUUUUAAACGACACAUUGACAACCCAUAUACACAACAUAGCCUAAUGGCAUAUCUGGAUCCGCUGCUAGUCUGAGUUAAGUUGUGUGAUUGCUACUUAGCUGGUGAGAGGAGGGAAAAGGUGGUUUACUGGGGUUUUGCGUCUGUUAGGAUAAUAAAUAGAAUACACUGGCGUUUGCGCAGGUAGCAGGUCCAAAAGCCGUUUAUUUUCAUGACGUCCAAUACGACAUCCAUAAUACCGCUAUGUCUGUACAGAUGCUGAAUGAGCACAACAACUGCGCACCGAUUGCGUCUACAAAUCGCAGAUCUAGAUCUCUCUCACGAUCGGAAAUAUCCGCCCAACUAGCAUCUUCUCCCCUGUCUCCUCCAUUUCCGUCUUUCAUGUCUACAAUCGCUACUGCCACUACUGUUGCAGAUGGAUCAACUGGUUAUUACAAUGAGGGAAGUGAAAAAAGUCGCUUAGCGCCCAAGAUUCUCCUCGAUGCUGGAGGUUCGAUGGCGUCAACAUCAACUGAAUCAGCCUCAGCCACUUCCACCGC
rnacentral:sRNA from 1 species